rnacentral:rRNA from 1 species
AGAGUUUGAUCCUGGCUCAGAAUCAACGCUGGCGGCGUGCCUAACACAUGCAAGUCGAACGAGAAAGUGGAGCAAUCCAUGAGUAAAGUGGCGACCGGGUGAGUAACACGUGACUACCUACCCUCGAGUGGGGAAUAACCCCGGGAAACCGGGGCUAAUUCCGCAUAAGAUCCGCAAGGAUGAAAGCCGCAAGGCGCCGA